UACGGGGGGGGCAAGCGUUGUUCGGAAUUACUGGGCGUAAAGGGCUCGUAGGCGGCCAACUAAGUCGGAUGUGAAAUCCCCAGGCUUAACCUGGGAACUGCAUCCGAUACUGGAUGGCUUGAAUCCGGGAGAGGGAUGCAGAAUUCCAGGUGUAGCGGUGAAAUGCGUAGAUAUCUGGAGGAAUACCGGUGGCGAAGGCGGCAUCCUGGGCCAAUACUGACGCUCAUGCACGAAAGCGUGGGGAUCAAACAGG
rnacentral:rRNA from 1 species